ensembl:lncRNA
CUCAGGCUGACCUUGAACUCACUAUGGAGCCAGGGCUUGAGGUCAUCCUCCUGCCUCAGCCUCCCGAGUGCUGGGAUGACAGGCUUGUGCCACCCCACCUCACUGGGUUGAACUUGUCUGAGGCUUUCCUCGCAAAGCCUGGGCAUGCGUAGUCGCACAGGAACAAAGGCGGUAGCGUGUGGUGUCAGCAAACAGCCAUCCGCAGAGGGGUUUGCAGGGCCAGGGAGCAGUGGCCGGUUCUCCUGUUGUCCUGCUGUGGACCAGGUGGUGCAUGCCUGUCAUAGCAGCACUCAGGAGGCUGAAGCAGGAGGAUCGCCUCAAGUCCCGGCUCCACGGUGAGUUCUAGGGUCUCUGAAGGGACAGAGAGCUCUGGUGGCAGUGAAGCCUUCUGUCAUCCUGCCCACCAGGUCAAGCCAGGGCGCCAGACCACCAGUAGACCAUGGCUCCAACAGGCAGCUCAGGCCCUUGGAGGUCGCAAGCAGCCCAACCCUCCUCUGGGGCUACCCAACCAGCACGCCACCCCAGCUGCACUACGGGGGAGAAGGGUGGGUGACUGUUGCUGAGGAUUAAGGCCCUCUCCCCCUUCACCCAUCUUGCCAAGCCAUGACCAAGAGAUCAGGCUCCUGGGCAGUUCACCUCGGGGGGCCAUGUGGGGAUCCCCAACCUCCAUCCAGCCUCUGGUCACCGCUGGCCACCCCUGCCCAGCUGCCUGGCUCUCUCUGCUGUGACAGCGUCCUCAGCCUCAUCCUUGUGCAUAGUGACAACAUCCCUGGGUCCCAUUGUCGUCCGAGGGUCAGGCCAGGGGGAGUGUUGACCUGCACCCCUGGCUGGAUGGGCCCCCCUGGAGGACCGUCACCUUCUAACGAUGCCAUCGCCAGGGUAGGUGCCGCUGGGGACCUACCCCACGUCAUUCUCAGAUGCAAGCCACGCCACGCGCCAAUGCCAAUCCCAGCCAGUGGUCCCGGCCUCCUCAUGUGUGCAGAGCAAGCAGCCGGCUGGGAAAAAGACACCCAAGGGGCUCCCUGGGUUCCUCCAGCCGAGUUACCUAGGAUGUUCUGGUGUCAUCUUGCAAAGAGGAGAGACCGUGUCUUAGAAGCAGAGAAUCACCCUGUGAAAUGGUGGACUAGAGAUUUUGCAGGUGCAAUGAGAGGGCUCUGGGACAUUCUAGUAGCAUAUCCAGCAUUUAGUUCCUUUGGAACGCGAACCUAUGCAUAAGGCACUUUCUCCAGUGCAUCCUGUGUGAGACUCCUCUGGCUACCAGGAAGGACCCCAGACCUCCCUGCCCUGUGCUUGGCUGACAGCAGAAUGAAGGAGGUCUCCAUGUGGAGCUGUAAAGUCCAUGUGAACAUCCGUGCUGCGGUGCCCCCAGCAGCACCCGCCCCUCGUCCUGUUGGUCUGUGCCCUGGUGAGCUUUUUCUACACUCUUCCUCCACACCGCCGCUGUCGUCCCGUUCUGCAGGUGUGAAUUUUGAUGCCUCGGUGUUGUCCUGUCAUCGCUUCCGCCUCCGUGUGUGCAGGGAGGCUGUGAGGAUGGAGCUGAGACAUUACAGCUAUUCCAGACAAUAAAAUAUUUUUGAAACCGC